GACGAUGUUCCAUACCAAGUGCGAGUCACUGCCAGUGGCGAUCUUGAAACUGUUGGCCGAUACAAUUUCAAUGGCCAACUUAACCACACAAUGAUUGCCCACCCAAAAAUUGAUCCAGUUUCUAAGGAGCUAUUUGCUCUGAGUUACGACGUCGUCCAAAAGCCGUACCUCAAGUACUUCCGAUUCUUCCCCGAUGGGACAAAAUCACCGGAUGUCGAUAUCCCUCUCCCAGUGCCAACCAUGAUGCAUGAUUUCGCUAUCACUGAGAA
rnacentral:misc_RNA from 1 species